rfam:Salmo salar isolate Sally breed double haploid chromosome ssa14, whole genome shotgun sequence.
UGCACUCACUACUGUAAGUCGCUCUGGAUAAGAGCGUCUGUUAAAUGAAGUAAA